AAUAAAGCAUGCAUCGAAAAAUGAAAAUGGAUUGCAAAUAAGUUGUAAAAUGAUACAAUGCAGUAUUUACAAAAAAUAAUAAUAAAAAAAUUAAAAAAAUAUAUUGAGAUAGAAUGGAUAAUUCUUGCACCAUCAUUUCUGCUUCUUCUCUUGGUUGUUUAUAUACAUCGGGAUCUGAAUAUACAAUAAAUAUUGGAACAAUUGUAUUAAAUCAAAUCAGUUAUUAGAACAAACGAUUAAGAGAGGAAAUAUAAGUAAAGCACUUACCUAACCCACCAAAAAAUGUAAAACAUAUCCAGAUAGUUCUUUCUAGUUGGCAAAAAACACAUCCAAAAAUAAAAUAUCCUCCAGUAUUUUGUACCAUCGUCCAAAAAAAAAAAAAAACUAUCAACUCCCAAUUCUUAGGAACUGGACAAAUGACACUGAAGAAUGAAAUAAAUUAAAUGUUAACAAAUGGAUAAAUCCAAUUCUCUGGAAGUGAAUGAACCAAACAACUAAAUGCUUGAUCGUUUAAUGGUUCUAACACAAUCUAUGUGAGGUUCAUCUAAAAAUUUCAGCCAUAUAUAGAGAGAACUUACAAACUCUGUAUUGAAAAGACAAAACUUUGCAAAUGAAUUUUGAAUCACUCUUCCAUUAUGGCUGCACUACAAACUCUUCAUCAAUGUCAGGUCUCCUGCUCCUUGGCAAAAUGAAGAUUCAAGAUUGAAUUUUUAACAACAAAUGAAAUUCUAAGUAAAGGUAAGAUUUCUUCCUUUACCUAUCUAAUAUUUAUAGAAACUGAAGUGCAUUUAUGGUUUCCCUCUCAUCUAGCAGCUGAAGAAAGUAUAAACAAAUGAAAGUAAUUUAGACACAAGUUAAGCUCCAAAAAUUACAGUUUCACAAAAAAGAAUUAAAGAAUGGAAAAAUUGCAUUAAAUCACCAUCUCUUCUGCAUGUUUGAAUUAUAUUUGAUUCCGGAACAUUAGCAUUGCCAUGAACUUCCUUGUACAAUUGAAAGAAUGUUUUUUAUUAGGUCAAAUAUGUUGAAGUAGAAAGAUUGACACAUCAUGAAAAAGUGGGAAGGUGACUAAAAACAAAUGCUAAACUACUUUGUUGAAAUAUUGAGAAAAUAAAUAUUCCUUUAGCAGCUCACACAUGUCAUAACAUUUAUGAAAUGGAAUGCAACUAAGUUGUAUUUUAAUAGAUGUGGAUUUAGUUAAUUCAAUCCACCACUAAGUCUAUCGAGAGAAUUAUUAGAUAGAAAAGAAAUUCACUGCGACCCCUCAGACCAUGUAAACAAGAUAUCGUCACACUGCUGUAUUGUGCUCAAAAUAUCAAAAAAGAUAUAUAUCUCAAACUUCUCACUGAUCAUUUUCAGUAAAAGAUGUGUCAAACCUAAAGUAACUGGAUUAAUGUUUGUGACAAAGCCCUUUCCCAUCCUUCACAAUAUAUGCUUUGAACUUUGCUAACAUGAGAGAUGAAUUAGGUGCAAAAUAGUUGGUGAAAGUGAUUUCUCAGAGCAAGAAAUAUAUGAAAAAGAAGUAGAUGAAAUGAAAUGAUUAUGGAACUACCAUUGGGCCAUUGAUGUAAUUGAUGGUAGUAUGCUAAUGCGGUAAUUUCAGUUCUUUAACACAAUAAAUACCAGAUUUUUUUCUUUUUCGAAUUCUCCAAUUGGAAUAGUCAAGUUCGCCAAAUCAAUAACAAAAUUUCACAUGGAUGCAAAAGUCUCCCAAAUGACUCUUCGAUAAUUAAAAAAGGGAACCUUCUAUCAUUAGCUUUACUCUAUACAUUGAAGUGAUCAUAAAGCUUGAUAAAAACACAAAAUAUGACUAACAUAUAUACUGAUUUCCCAUCAUCAUGAUUUAGAGACCAAAUUAGAGUAUGUUUGGGGUGGCUUAUAAGUAAGAUUGUAAAUAUGAGAGAAACGGGCAAACCAUUUUUUUCUCAUACAUAUAUUUGCACAAGGUUAUCAAAGCUACGAAAGAGAACAGUGCAACAAAAAAAGAGGAUAUAUUACAAUCUAGAAAAAUCUUGACCAUGAUGGUGAACUUCUAGCAAAAAGCAUAUUAGAAGAAGAUGAUAAAAUCCAGAACGUUACAUUAAAAUCAAGUACGAUAAGAGCUAUUAGAAAAUAUACACAGCAAACUGGCAAUUCUGCCCAUUUAUUCCCUAUAAUUGAUAAUAAGAAACUAGGACGAAUAAUUCCUCCUCAGCCCAUGUCUCUUUUUUAACUACUAGAUCUAGAUGAUUGUGCCACUUUAAGAUCAUGUGCAGCAACAGAACUUUAGAACAUAGGCCAUAUCUUAACAUUAGGUAAAAAUAUCAAAGGUUUAACUAAAUUAUGUAGACGAGUACAUUUGCUUUAUUUAUGACGAAAAGUGUGCAACUGUCCUUAAAAGAAUAAUAGAAUCCAAUCUUAUGCUUUUCACAUGCAAGUAAUGACCCUUCAACCUAUUUAAACGAUGGAGUGUGUUGAAGACUAUUUAAAUGAUGUAUAUGUGGUAUUAUCUAACAAUAUAAGUUUUUAGAUCUAGUGUUUAAAUGGUGACUAAAGAAAACAAGAGGAAAUAAAACAACAUAGCUUAAUUGUGAUAUAUUAUUUAAACAAAUGACUGUCCAUAAAUAUAUUUAUUGUAGUUCUUUCUAAUAAAAGAGUCUCAAACUGUCAUUAUGAAUACGGUCAAACCUAUCAGUCAUGUAAAGUAACGCUGAAAAAAAAAACUAUCGUAACAUGAUAACCUCAUUUCAAUAUCUAUAUAAAGAAAUAAAGAACAUUUGAUUUGCAAGAACCUUUAUAUAGAUCGAAGAACCAUGUCUACCAAUCAAUUUAAGAACCAUAUGACAUUUUAUUAUCUAAAUCAUUGUCCACACAAGGGAAAAAAUUAAGUAAUGAAACUAGGGCAUUUAGUAUACAUUUGUUUAACUGAAAAACAAACAAUUUAAUCAUUUUUUUCUGCACUGUAAUUAGUCUAAUAAGAGGAUUGUGACAAGAUCCGCUAAAUUAUGAAUUGAUUUUUGUGUAAAACUCUAAUCUAAGUGUAUGCCAAACACGUUCUUUAAGUUGGCAACUGGACAAAAUUAACAAAUUACAACAGGAGAAAAAAAAUACAAAGUAAAACUUACAUUUCUACCAUGCCUCAGUGCAUUAUAAAGGAAUCAAUGACAUCUUUAAAACCAUUUUAAUUAUAGUACUCGCUCAAAAUGUCCUUUUGAAUGCUAGCUAUUGUGAAAACUUUUAUAUUUUGACGUAACUAUAACAAAUCAUUUAUUAUUGAUCGAACCAUUUAUAUCCACACAUUUUACGGAACCACAAAUACUACCCACUUAUCUAUUAUUGGUUCCUAUAAUUUAUUAAACGGUUUACAAGCACUUCUCAAACAAGUCAACUUUAUUUUUUACAUUGUGGAUUUAAAUAAUUUUGUGAAGUUUAGAGAGUUAACAACACAAUUCAUUUAUUUUAAUUGCAAAUAAAUUAUUCUAAUUCGUCAAAAUCUACUACGAAUAGCAGAGAUGAAUCCAUACAAAAACAAUUCCUAGAAUUCCUUAAGGGGAGAAAUAAUUGCAAAUGAAACAUUCUAAUCAAUCAUAUUAUGAAAACCAAAUACUAAUCACAAAAAUGUCACCACAAAAUCCAAUUGUAAGAAUUCAUGAUGCAAAUAGAAAUUGUUGUAUAAUUAAUCAGAAUCAAAUAUGAAUAGAAAAAAUGUAUCCACGCAAAACCCAAUAACUACCAUACAUAAAAGGAAAGAGAAAAUUACAGACAAAAUACUCAAGUUAAUCAAGUCAAAUAUGAGAAAAAGCAUCUACAACAAACCCAAUUGAUAGAAUUCAUAAGGGGAAACAUAAAAUUCCUAUCAAAAUACUCAAGUUAGUUAAAAUCAACUACUAAUCACAAAGAUGUAUUGUCGAGCAAAAUGGGGAACAUGGACUCGACUGCACAAAGGGCUUUAAAAUAACUUUGUAGGAGAUCACGGCGUGCGGCAACAAAUAGAAGGGGAUAAAACCUUUUUAUAGUAGCAAAUUAACAUUUACUUACCAAAAAAUCUUUUUUUAAUCAUUCUCUUCGUCGUUCUCUUUCUCGAUGAUGAAAACUUCAAACCUCUACAAAAGAAAAUAAAAACAAAAGAUUAAAAUUUUUGGGAUGAAACCUCUUGCUAAAUUAAGCGGUAUAUACGAAAAAUAGAAAAUAGAGAGUCAAGUAAUUGUGUAGGAGAAGUGCAAAGAAGAACGAUAGUUUGUGUGUAAAAAUAGAGAAAGAGUAAGAAUAAAUGGGGGAGAGAAAGAAGUCUGUG
rnacentral:lncRNA from 1 species